AGAGAUCUUUUUCUUCUCCCCAAUGGACCAAUUUACAAUGAUGUAGUUUCACUGGAUUCUUUUAGCCCUUUGAUGGUGUUGUUGCUGGGGUCCAGGAUCAGAACUAUCUGGUGGAUGACCUAGCUGAGUGCUGCCACAGAAUGUGUCUGCUCAGGUUACCCUUUUGUCCAAAUCUUUGACCACACUCAGAACAGACAAAUGAUUUCUGCCCUGUAUGAAUUAUCAUAUGUCUGUUCAGGUUGCCCUUUUGUCCAAAUCUUUGACCACACUCAGCACAGCUAAAUGGUUUUUGUCCUGUGUGAAUUAUCAUGUGUGCAUUCAGAUUGCUGUUUCGUCCAAAUCUUUUACCACACUCAGAACAGACAAAUGGCUUUUUCCCUGUAUGAACUAUCAUGUGUUUGUUUAGGUAACUAUUUUUUCCAAAUCUUUUACCACACUCAGAACAGACAAAUGGCUUUUUCCCUGUAUGAAUUAUCAUGUGUGUCUGCAGAGAGGUCUUUGCCCAA